rnacentral:rRNA from 1 species
GUCGCAUGCUCCCGGCCGCCAUCGGCGGCGGCGGGAAUUCGAUUAGAGUUUGAUCAUGGCUCAGAUUGAACGCUGGCGGCAUGCCUUACACAUGCAAGUCGAACGGCAGCGCGGGGCAACCUGGCGGCGAGUGGCGAACGGGUGAGUAAUAUAUCGGAACGUACCCUGGAGUGGGGGAUAACGUAGCGAAAGUUACGCUAAUACCGCAUACGAUCUAAGGAUGAAAGCAGGGGACCGCAAGGCCUUGUGCUCCUGGAGCGGCCGAUAUCUGAUUAGCUAGUUGGUGGGGUAAAGGCCUACCAAGGCAUCGAUCAGUAGCUGGUCUGAGAGGACGACCAGCCACACUGGAACUGAGACACGGUCCAGACUCCUACGGGAGGCAGCAGUGGGGAAUUUUGGACAAUGGGCGCAAGCCUGAUCCAGCAAUGCCGCGUGAGUGAAGAAGGCCUUCGGGUUGUAAAGCUCUUUUGUCAGGGAAGAAACGGUGAGGGCUAAUAUCCCUUGCUAAUGACGGUACCUGAAGAAUAGCACCGGCUAACUACGUGCCAGCAGCCGCGGUAAUACGAAUCACUAGUGAAUUCGCGGCCGCCUGCAGGUCGACCAUAUGGGAGAGCUCC